rnacentral:tmRNA from 2 species
GGGGGCGUAUUUGGCGUUCGACGGGGACUGUGCAGUACGGGAAGCGAGUAGCGGCGCGGGACCGCUUCAACAAUCCGCACCUUAAAUUUAAACGCAGAUUCUAACGAUUACUGCUUAGCGGCUUAAGCCGCUCAUCCUCUGUCGGGGGACCACGACCGGCUGUAGGGUGUCACUUUAGUGGUGCACAUGUAUACGCGAGGGCUUCGUAGCGUAUCAGGUAUACGAAGAUACUGGUUUUUUGAGCUUGGCCAUCAGCGCCUGAAACCGGGAAUGUAAAUGACGGCCUGCACUCGGAGAUGCCCGUAUGAAUCGGUUUUCGGACAGGGGUUCGACCCCCCUCGCCUCCACCA